ACGCAGCAGCAAUCAGCCUCACUGGACUUACUUUUCAGAUCAGUUUAUGCCUUUGCAUCUUGCUGUUCCAGUUUCAAGAAGUUAAGGAAGAUAACUGGAGAUGUGAUAACGAUACCAGAAGACUGAGAAGAAACUGCCCCUCAUUAGAAAGAUGAUGGAGACCACAUUUCCCCUACGCCGACAGACCAUAGUGAUGUCCUGUGAUUCUUACUCAUUUGGCUGAUAUUUUUGCUUUAUUAAUGUGUGCAAGAUUCUUCAAAUUGAACUGUUUUUUUUAAUAAGUGUUGUUGCUGUAUUCUACUCUGGCUGUUAUUUCUAUGUAGUUGUAUGCAGAGU